UCAUACACGAUCACUGAAGUUAAGCAACAUCGAGCCUGGUCAGUACCUAGAUGGGUGACAGCUUGGGAAUACCAGGUGCUGUAUG